UGGGGAAUAUUGGACAAUGGGCGAAAGCCUGAUCCAGCCAUGCCGCGUGUGUGAAGAAGGUCUUCGGAUUGUAAAGCACUUUAAGUUGGGAGGAAGGGCAGUAACUUAAUACGUUGCUUGUUUUGACGUUACCGACAGAAUAAGCACCGGCUACUCCGUGC
rnacentral:rRNA from 1 species